rnacentral:rRNA from 1 species
GAGAGAGACAUGCGCGCAUAUCAAUAAGCGGAGGAAAAGAAACUAACAAGGAUUCCCUAGUAACGGCGAGUGAAGCGGGAAGAGCUCAAAUUUGAAAUCUUAAAGGGUUUCCCUUUACGAAUUGUAGUUUAAAGAAGUGUUUUCUGUUGAGGUUUUGGUAAAAGUUCUUUGGAAUAGGACAUCAUAGAGGGUGAGAAUCCCGUAUUUGACCUUUACUUUCAACUUUGUGAUACACUUUCAAAGAGUCGGAUUGUUUGGGAAUGCAGUCCAAAAUGGGUGGUAAAUUUCAUCUAAAGCUAAAUAUUGGCGAGAGACCGAUAGCGAACAAGUACCGUGAGGGAAAGAUGAAAAGAACUUUGAAAAGAGAGUUAAACAGUACGUGAAAUUGUCAAAAGGGAAGCGUUUGACACCAGUGUUGUUUUUCUGAAAAUCAAUUAAAGAACUGUUUAUGCUAAGUUGUUUAGACUUUAUCAGCUAACUGUUUAGUUUUGAGCUUUUCUUUAAUGCACUUUUCAGUUAACAAGUCAACAUCAACUUCUUUUGCUGUAAAAAAGCUUGAGGAAGGUGGCUUGAGAUUCGUCUUAAGUGUUUAUAGCCUCUUGCCUAUGCAGUCGGAGAGAUUGAGGUCUGCAGCGUAGAUCCUUCGGGGCUAAAUGCAUUUGUGCUAAGUUAUAGCAUUUUAUAGACAACUUGUUGACUAUGAUUAGUCUUGUAGCUUACUCGCUUAUGUUAUUUUACCUACGCUUAGGAUGUUGAGCGCAUGUCUCUCUCU